rnacentral:rRNA from 1 species
AUUGAACGCUGGCGGCAGGCCUAACACAUGCAAGUCGAGCGAGCGGCGGACGGGUGAGUAAUGUAUGGGGACUGCCCGAUAGAGGGGGAUACCUACUGGAAACGGUGGCUAAUACCGCAUACUAUCGGAUAACCCAUAUGGGAUUAGCUAGUAGGUGGGGUAAAGGCUAACCUAGGCGACGAUCUCUGGCUGGUUUGAGAGGAUGUUCAGCCGCACUGGGACUGAACCACGUCCCAGACUCCUACGGAGGAAGCAGUGGGGAAGAUUGCACAAUGGGCGCAAGCCUGAUGCAGCCAUGCCGCGUGUAUGAGGAAGGCCUUAGGGUUGUAAAGUACGUUCAGCGGGGAGGCGUUACCCGCAGAAGAAGCACCGGCUAACUCCGUGCCAGCAGCCGCGGUAAUAC